UUAUAUAAUCAACUUUAAACUCAGUUACGCGAAUCAGUUUAUUAAUCACUUUUCUGUUUGUUUUCCUUUCAAACUCUGGGAUCUGGGCUCCAUGUUUCCACAACCCACUCCCAUCCGGUCACAACUGCAAAUCUUCCACCCCAACAAACGGCGAGUAUCAAUUCCACAAAAAGAUCCAGAUCAUUGACUCUUAAACCCCGAUAGAACAACUGGACUAAAAAAGAAAUCGCACUGACGUCAUGAUAAUUUUGUUUUUGGAGCAGAUCUGACAGGAGCUGAUAUCUGAACAGCUUUCCCCAUACAUCCAUUAUGGUCACACAGAACCGAUAUGUGCAUGAUAGGAAGUUCUUGAAAUUAAUUUUUUCUAAACCAAACUGCCCCUGGUGGCUGAGUGGCUGGAGCCCUCUCCACCUUAUGCACCAUGACAAAACAUGGCUGCAGACUUUGAAAUUGCUAAAUAGAAUCAUCACCACAGCUCUGAUGGAGGAAAACAUGCCUCAUCCCCCCAGCUGAUCUGAUGCUGAGGAUGCUGAUGCUGAUGCUGAGGACGAAGGUGACGCUGACGAUGAUGAUGAGGAUGAGGACGGGUUUGCACUGGAUGGGAUGAAGGUUGGGGGUACAUGGAAAUCCCAAAUUCAAGACACCCGGUACCAGAUGCAGCAAAGCAGCCCCAGAACAUGACCGAGCCUCCUCCAUGUAUUACACGGUGUCCUCCUCGGCCGUCUUCCAUGAAGUCCUCUUUGGCUCAAAAAGCGACGGAUGUUGCGAUCUGAUAAUGAUGGACCUUGACCUUGGAGUUCACCUCUAAUCUCUUUGGAAGUUGUUCUGGGCUCUUUGGUUACCAUUCGUAUUAUCCAUCUCUUCAUUUUGUCAUAAAUUUUCCUCAGGUGGCCGGGUCCAGGGAGAUUGGCUACAGUCCUGUGGACUUUAAACUUUUGAAUAAUAUGUGCCACUGUAGUCACAUGAACAUCUCGCUCCUUGGAGAUGGUCUUAUUGCAUUUACCUUUAACAUGCUUGCAGAUAAUUUCCUUUCUAAUCUCCUGAGACAACUCUGUCCUUUGCUUUCUGUGGUCCAUGUUCCUUGUGGUACACACCAUGAUACCAAACAGCACUGUGACUACUUUUCACCCUUUAAAUUAUCAGACAGACUUAUUACAAGUUUGAAGAGACCUGCGAUGCUAAUUCGAGGACACACUUUAGUUUAGCAUGUCCCUACUGUCAAUUAUUUUCAAUCUUUUCUAGGGGUACCAUCAUUUUUGU